rnacentral:rRNA from 1 species
UUGAUCCUGGCUCAGAAUCAACGCUGGCGGCGUGCCUAAUACAUGCAAGUCGAACGCGAAAGUCCCGCAAGGGGCAAGUAGAGUGGCAAACGGGUGAGUUACGUGUGGGCGACCUACCUUCGAGUGGGGGAUAACCUUCCGAAAGGAGGUCUAAUACCGCAUGACAUCCCGUGUUUGGAUACACGGACAUCAAAGUCGGUGAUCGCAAGACCUGACGCUUGGAGAGGGGCCUGCGUCCGAUUAGCUAGUUGGUGGGGUAACGGCCCACCAAGGCUUCGAUCGGUAUCCGGCCUGAGAGGUCGGACGGACACACUGGGACUGAGACACGGCCCAGACUCCUACGGGAGGCUGCAGUAGGGAAUUGUUCGCAAUGGGCGCAAGCCUGACGACGCAACGCCGUGUGGAGGAUGAAGACCUUCGGGUCGUAAACUCCUUUCGACCGAGAUGAAUACUCACCGAUCUAAUACGUCGGUGAGCUGACAGUAUCGAGGGAAGAAGCUCCGGCUAACUCCGUGCCAGCAGCCGCGGUAAUAAGGU